GAUCAAUAGCUGAUCUGAGAGGAUGAUCAGCCACAUGGGGACUGAGACACGGCCCAGACUCCUACGGAGGGCAGCAGUAGGGAAUCUUGCACAAUGGGGGAAACCCUGAUGCAGCGAUGCCGCGUGAGUGAAGAAGGCCUUUGGGUUGUAAAGCUCUUUCGUCGGGGAAGAAAAUGACUGUACCCGAAUAAGAAGGUCCGGCUAACUUCGUGCCAGCAGCCGCGGUAAUACGAAGGGACCUAGCGUAGUUCGGAAUUACUGGGCUUAAAGAGCUCGUAGGUGGUUAGAAAAGUUAGUGGUGAAAUCCCAAGGCUUAACCUUGGAACUGCCACUAAAACUUUUUAACUAGAGUGUGGUAGAGGUAAGCGGAAUUUCUAGUGUAGAGGUGAAAUUCGUAGAUAUUAGAAAGAACACCAAUUGCGAAGGCAGCUUUCUGGAUCAUUACUGACACUGAGGAGCGAAAGCAUGGGUAGCGAAGAGGAUUAGAUACCCUCGUAGUCCAUGCUGUAAACGAUGUGUGCUAGACGUUGGAAAUUUAUUUUCAGUGUCGCAGCAAAAGCGUUAAGCACACCGCCUGGGGAGUACGACCGCAAGGUUAAAACUCAAAUGAAUUGACGGGGACCCGCACAAGUAGUGGAGCAUGUGGUUUAAUUCGAAGAUACGCGCAGAACCUUACCAACACUUGACAUGUUUGUCGCGACUCUAAGAGAUUAGAGUCUUCGGUUCGGCCGGACAAAACACAGGUGCUGCAUGGCUGUCGUCAGCUCGUGUCGUGAGAUGUUGGGUUAAGUCCCGCAACGAGCGCAACCCUUACUUUUAGUUGCUACCAUUUAGUUGGGCACUCUAAAAGAACUGCCAGUGAUAAGCUGGAGGAAGGCGGGGAUGACGUCAAGUCCUCAUGGCCCUUACGUGUUGGGCUACACACGUGCUACAAUGGUACUUACA
rnacentral:rRNA from 1 species